rnacentral:rRNA from 1 species
GACAGGAGCUUGCUCCUGAAUUCAGCGGCGGACGGGUGAGUAAUGCCUAGGAAUCUGCCUGGUAGUGGGGGACAACGUUUCGAAAGGAACGCUAAUACCGCAUACGUCCUACGGGAGAAAGCAGGGGACCUUCGGGCCUUGCGCUAUCAGAUGAGCCUAGGUCGGAUUAGCUAGUUGGUGAGGUAAUGGCUCACCAAGGCGACGAUCCGUAACUGGUCUGAGAGGAUGAUCAGUCACACUGGAACUGAGACACGGUCCAGACUCCUACGGGAGGCAGCAGUGGGGAAUAUUGGACAAUGGGCGAAAGCCUGAUCCAGCCAUGCCGCGUGUGUGAAGAAGGUCUUCGGAUUGUAAAGCACUUUAAGUUGGGAGGAAGGGCAGUAACUUAAUACGUUGCUGUUUUGACGUUACCGACAGAAUAAGCACCGGCUAACUCUGUGCCAGCAGCCGCGGUAAUACAGAGGGUGCAAGCGUUAAUCGGAAUUACUGGGCGUAAAGCGCGCGUAGGUGGUUUGUUAAGUUGGAUGUGAAAUCCCCGGGCUCAACCUGGGAACUGCAUUCAAAACUGACAAGCUAGAGUAUGGUAGAGGGUGGUGGAAUUUCCUGUGUAGCGGUGAAAUGCGUAGAUAUAGGAAGGAACACCAGUGGCGAAGGCGACCACCUGGACUGAUACUGACACUGAGGUGCGAAAGCGUGGGGAGCAACAGGAUUAGAUACCCUGGUAGUCCACGCCGUAAACGAUGUCAACUAGCCGUUGGGAGCCUUGAGCUCUUAGUGGCGCAGCUAACGCAUUAAGUUGACCGCCUGGGGAGUACGGCCGCAAGGUUAAAACUCAAAUGAAUUGACGGGGGCCCGCACAAGCGGUGGAGCAUGUGGUUUAAUUCGAAGCAACGCGAAGAACCUUACCAGGCCUUGAC